rnacentral:rRNA from 1 species
CGAAGCUUCGGCCUUAGUGGCGCACGGGUGCGUANCGCGUGGGAAUCUGCCCUCAGGUUCGGAAUAACAGCGAGAAAUUGCUGCUAAUACCGGAUGAUAUCGCGAGAUCAAAGAUUUAUCGCCUGAGGAUGAGCCCGCGUAGGAUUAGCUAGUUGGUGUGGUAAAGGCGCACCAAGGCGACGAUCCUUAGCUGGUCUGAGAGGAUGAUCAGCCACACUGGGACUGAGACACGGCCCAGACUCCUACGGGAGGCAGCAGUGGGGAAUAUUGGACAAUGGGCGAAAGCCUGAUCCAGCAAUGCCGCGUGAGUGAUGAAGG